UGCUGUUCUGCUUGUAAGGAGGAGCGGAGCGCUGCGGGCCGCGGCUGGCACCAGCGGGGUGACGAGGUCGGGUUACAGACGAAACGUCGAAGUGAAGAGGCAGUGCUUACCAAGAAAGGAUGGCAUCCCUGUUUUGGUGGAGGAAGAUGAGAACAGCUUAUCCUUAUUUUUUGAAGCUGUUUAAUAAGCAGAAUGCUUCCUGAACUGAGUUGUAUCUGGAAUAAUUUGCUGAUAGUAAGUAUAGAAACCAGUAGGCCUGAUCUACUGCACCCUCCUGACAUCAAAGGAAUUGCAAAUAGUUCCUGAAGUGCCUGGAUGUGAAAGAGAUUAUAUGGGAAAGAGUGUCAGGCAGGAAGACGUGCAAGAGCAGAAGCAUUUGGAUGCUGCCUUGUAAGGGAACAACAAACAACCACAGCAAGUUCCAAGUCGGUUAUGAAACAUGAACUAAUUAAAAUCUAUUUUCCAGCAGUUAAAUUAAGACAAAGUUACCACUACAAAAUCAUGUCGUGUUCUGACAGUUACUCAAAGAUAAUAGAUCCCACUUUUUAUUACACUGGUGUGUUUCCACAGGUUUCAAUUCUGGUCUGCUUCCUGUGGGAGUUUGAAGAAACCCUACCAUUCUGUUACUGUCCCACUACUGUGAAGCUGGAGCACUCACAUCUGCGUGUAAAACUGUGAUUAUGAAAUCCCAAGCCAAAGUUGCUCCAGAUGCUAUGAAUCAGCUUCACUACAGAAUUUGGCAUUAGCUGCAGCUCUUGAGACAGAAAGCUCCCAGGGCCUUACAUAAGUUGUGCAUGCAUCAAGGCUGUAGAAUUAGGCCUUGUAAUUGUAAAACCUGCCAAAAGAGCCUCACAGCAAGUCAGCAUAAUCUGCUGGUUCUUGGCAUCUGGGCCUUACUGAUGUGUAUUUCAGUGCAGAAAAAAAUCAGUUGGGAAGAGAUGGAGAAGAGAAACAUGAGAGAAAUGUUCAUUAACCUUUACCCUCCAUAAUGGUAUUGGAAAGCAUUAACUUCAAGUCUUGGCUUGGACAACAAGCCCAGAUCCACACUUACAUGCCAGAUGGCAACUGCAGAGGAGUUUCAAGUUAUAGCUGCAGUAGAUGAAGAUAAGUGCCUCUUGAGAAAGGCUAGCACUCUCUGAAUUCAGUGGUGGUUGUGUGACUCUCCUCAGUAACUUUGUGCUGAUAACUACCAAGGAGUGGGAUGACGAGUCUGUAUGGAACAGUGGGGACUUCCUUACUGCUUUCUCUCAUAUGAGAGAAAUAAAACCUGUUCUGCAUAAGUAAAACAGAGCCAGCAUGCUGGAUUCAGUCUCUAAACAAAGAGGCCUCAAGCUGACUAGAAGCAGCAGUGGAGGUAUUUCAUGGAUACGUAGGGCAUUUGUGGACAAGACGUGACUUCUAGUAUGAACAAAUGGAGAUUUUGUGGAGCAUUUCAGAUGUGAAUGUUUCUUUACUAAUAUCAGUCACUUAGUAUAAUUUUUGUUAGUCAAUUAGUAUAAUUCUCGAUUAGCAACAUCAUUUUUGUACUUAUUUGAUGUAUCGAAGAUCAAUGCGUCUAUUUUUUUCUCUCACAGUUUCUCAGGCAGCUCUCAAUCUGCUAUUGUGAUUUUUAAUCAUUCUUUUGUUCUCCAUUGCCUUUACCAUUUCUUUGAUCUUUGAUCUGUUUUUCCAUUUAGAAAGUUUUUAUUCCCCUAGAUACUGUGCAAUGUUAUCAGUUUUCUCAGGAGAUAUGCAGAAUCAUUUUUAAAGGUCCCAGAACAAUUCUGCAGUAUGCAUCUGGCAGCUGAGUGAAAAUGCCAAACCUCAGAUUUGUGUUUCAUAGGAUUCCUUCAAUUUUGCAUGCGUAAUAGCUCCUGUUCACAGUGCAACAUCUAUGCACAUAGAAAAAUUAAAAUGCAGAAGUGAAAUGAAAAGUUGCCAUUCUGAAAACACCUCUCACCAAGAGUCAAACCUUAGCUCAGUGGAAUUGCUCCUCGGUUUCCCUUAAAUCCAUUGAUUUAAAUGGGUAGAAAUGAACAAAGGCAUUUGUGGAAAUGCGUUUGGGUUGGUUUUGUUUUGUAUUGAUUUUGUUUGUUUCUAAAAAGUUACAUCUUAGUAUAUUAAGACUUGGCAGGCUAAUCUGCACUUGAAGAAGCCUGCAGCUAUUUGGAUGUCUGAAAUUCAGCAAACCGUGAAUCCCAGAUUAUCUGCCCAACUUGAUAUUGGUAAUGAGUGUGUUUAUUGGAACAGUGUCUAGCAGAAUUUUAGAGCAAAGAUUUAGAGAAUGUCUUCAGAAAUAGGAUGUUCUAGGGACCUACUCCUUCCCAGGAAACUGCAAAGCAUUGCUUUUUUUAACCUGGUGCAGAAAGGAAGAAUUUGAAAUCAAACACUUUUGUAGAAUUGAAAGGUAUUCCCUCUCUGGCUCAAAAUUUUUAGUGAAGGGAGUUACCAUAGGGGUUGUGGAAGCCUGAGAGAACAAAUAUAUUGUUAAUUAACUGAUUUUAAAAAAGGAUCUAUCAGUUGCAUUAAAAACCUUGACCUGGUUGUGCUUUGAGAGGAAGAUACAAAUGGGGAGCUUUUCUCUACUCUUCCUCCCUCUCCCGUCCCUUUCCUCCAGCUGCUCUGGUUGAAUUUUUAGCAGCAGAGGCUUAAUCAUUCAAAACAUAGGAUUUUGGAAAUUGCAUAUGAAUUUGCUCAUGGGUUUUGAUAAGGUGACAUUUAGAUUAUAUAACUGAGCUUGUUGGUAUUCACACUGUAAACUUUAUCUUGGUAUGAGGGGAAAAAUACUUGAGAGCUUCUUUUGCAAGUGCCCCCAGUCUGUGUUUCAAGUGUUGUUGGCCUGCCUCUCAAUACAUUCUGAAAUGAGACCUUUUGGUAAUUUUUUAUUUUGUGUUUUGAAUGGUUAAAGUGUAUAAAAUCAGACUUCAAAUUGUUUAAUCCUAAGGACAACUUAUUUUACAAGUACACAUCUGUAUUAAGAUGAUAAAAGUAAGGUUUAGAAAAGUCUAUAGAGCUUAGUAGCUUGCUCUUUUGCUCGAGGGUCUGCUGAAUUCUGCUUUGCUGUUGAUGAAAUUACAUCAAUAUAUUGAUAGCACUGAUUAUCUUGUAGCACUCAAAAUAAGGAGAGUACAAAGGGCAGCCACUUUUCCAUCUCUCAAAUGAGACAUUGUAGUAUGAGAAAUGUAAUAUUAGAGGAUAGCUUUUCUUUCCCUUCAGUAUAAGCGAUGCAGCUAAAUGUAUUUGUUGUUGUAGCUAUUCUUUUUUUCUUUUAAAUGAGAUAGUAUUAGUGCACCAAAUUUUCUUUUGGCCAAUAGAACCUCUGUAGCAGAGAAGACAGAAACAAGACAAGAAAAAGCAUGUUGAACAGUCUUUCCUGACUAGACAGGUUUGAUGUUAGUUACAUCUUACAGAAGGGUUUCAGCAUAGCUACAAAGCUCUUGAGGUAUUGAAAUACUUUGUGGUAUAAUCCAAAAAUGUAUUUUUGAGAGGGUAUGAUAUUUCUGUGGCUGCAAUGCCAUAAGACAAUGAAUGUUGUACUUCACAAUCUAAUCUUAUGGCUCCUUUUUAUUCCAAAUGGUAAGCUAUAUACUGUUCGUUCUUCUUGCAUCGCUUUCCUUGCUCUUUCUACUUUAAUGAUCUUAAACUUGUUCGAAGUCAUAACGAAGUUCUUUAGCUAAAAUUAAAAAAAAAAACUCUUUUAAAGUAGAUUUCCUUACUAUAAUGGUAAUGGCUUCUAGAAGAAGCACUGUGUAAAUGAUGAAAGAAACUGAUUCGUAUCUUUGAAUACUUGAAGUGAGGGCUGAUAGCCAAGAGCUGACAAAGAGUGAUUUAAAAAUGAAAAUGAAGCCAUAAUAUAUUCAAAGUAGUGAAGUGGAUAUAACUUGGGGGGAGACAUUAAGUUUGACUUCCGAAGUUUUUUUGUUUUUUUUUAAAGUGUUCAUAGAAGGGGAGCCAAUUAUCACCCAAUUGCUCCAAGCUGGAUUUUAAACAUGAUAUAAAAAAUGGCAAUUAUACAAUGUCACAUAGUCCUAUUGGAGUAGCACCAAUCAGAAGAUGGCUUCUGCAAUUGCCUCCAAGCUCUGACUGGGCUCAUCCCCAGUCAAAAUUCCAUUAAGGAGGAGGAGGAGAGGGACAGGUUUAUGUAUAUUAUACAGAAAACAAAGUCAAAAAUGUUAUGGGGACACAGACUCAGUUCCCAAAACCAUAAGCUGUGUUUAAUGUCAAAGCUUACAAGAGGUGGUGCAUUAUUUGCGGCAAGGUAUUAUAAAGUCUGGAAUUGUUUUUAUGGAAAGGUUAGGCCCUGUGGGGGAAGGAAGGUGAAGGAUGAAAAACACACUUGUUCAUCUUCCAAGGAAGUAUGAGGUUACUGCAAAAUACAGAUUUUUUUAAAAAGAAAUAUAUCUAUUCCUUUGAUGCAUACCAGUUUUGAUGGAUCUUGUUCACAUUGCUAACAGGUUUCCACUGGAAACCUUAUCAGUUUUCUACCAAAUUAGCUAGGAGGUUAUUCCAGAGCCACUGCUUUUAAGAGUUGUUGUUGCAGCUGCAUAUUGUGAAGUGAAAAGUCUUGGAACCAGGAGGUUCUCACCAGCGGGCGGCAGAGGCUGCUCAACCCUGACCCCUGGGAAGUGAGGUGGGCCAUGUCAUAGGAAGGUUUCCAAGGGUCCUUUUGGGACAGCCCAACGAUGCAGAACGAAAGUGCAGAAAAUGGACAUUGCUGUAGGUUACCUGCUGUUGACGUUUACCAAAUAAUUAAUGACAGAAUGCUGAUGCCAUGUGCUUUUUCCCAUUUCUGUGAUUUUGAAGUUUGUCUGACUGCAGAGAGGGAGACUGAAGUCCCAGGUAAGACAGCUAGAGAAAAUGGAGCAUUGUCAUACCAGCUGAUGAGACCAGACUAGCGAAGUCACAGCUGUGACAGAUGAGAGCUGAGAACAAGCACAGUUAACAGAGAGACCACUUCUAGAGUGGACUUGAAUGAGCUACCUGCUCUUGGUAUAACAGGGUGUCACAAGCUCUAUGUCAGAAAAACAACAACAACAACAAAAAACAAUUUUAAUUCUCCAUCUGGGCUUUGGAGCCAAUUUGGGCAAAGUUUGUUCUUUUGACUGACAGUACAGAAAUGUGGAAAAUUGCCUAGGGGCUAAAUAGCUUUAUCAUGGCAAAUUACUUAGAAUAAAAUUGUAAGAAAGUAGACAGCUGGGAUUUUGUACUGGAGAUGGAAUAGAUCUCAAGGGAAAAGAAACUGUGUUUGUGCUUAUAGAGGGUAGAAUCUUUUUGUUUGACCUGGUACUAUAUCCAGACAUUUGUUUCCCCCCCAUGCUCUCAGCUGUUAGUGUACAACAUAGAAGGAGUUUAUGUGCAUUGCUUGCUUUAUGAGUGAGCCUUGCUGAGAUGAACACGAUUAUUAAGUCUGAGUUGUUAUACAGUUUGUCUUCCUGACAAUUUGUUGCUCUACCAUGAUCUGUAUUUGAUUAAUAUUUGAAUGGUUUCAGAGUACAUCUAAGUUUGACUUGCAAAUAUGAAGGAAAACUUAAAUAGAAACUCUAAUAUCAAACUUAACUUAGAAGAAGUAUUAAUGCAGAUUAUUUUAAAUUAGUCUGAAAGAGUAAUAUAUCCAUAAAACCACAUAUAUACACUGAUCAAAGUAAAAUAAAAUUCUCCAGUGCUCAAGAAGUACAAAAAAUAUAUUGCUAUCUGGAGACAAAACUUGUUUUUGAUGGACAAAAUUAUGUACCUCAAGUAUGGGAGACUUUAGUUCAUGAUCUGAAAGAGUAGAUGGCAGAAAUAGACCAAACAUUACAAAAAAUUAGGUACAUAAAAUCAAGUGCAUAUUAGUUACUUUAGAGAAAUCUGUGCCAUCGUGUCUUUAUCAUCUUAGUAAGAAAGUUCUGUAGUAAAUGAGCGGUAUUCUGAUCUACCUAAGAAGAAUAAACAAAAAUGAGUUCUUAGCUUUAUAUAGCUAGCCAACAAAACACGUACUAAAAAAUCUCAUUGGAGUUAAACAGAUAUUGGUCUCAGAUUUGGGGUAACACAAGCAGUAUGGCAAUGUCUAGCACAAGUUGAACUACUAGAGUGCAAAACUUGUUGUGCUGGUCCUGAGUCAUCCCACCACUACAGUAUAUAUGUUCAUUAAUUACCAUAUUAUACACAGUAGAAACUGUGGCAUCAUAUUCAUAGGAAUACAGUGUUUAUAAUCCAACCCAAGCAAUAUCUUAUAUUCUUUUAAAAUACUAAGAAACUUGCUGUGUAUAUACUGAGCUGUAAUACAGCAGAUGUGGUGUAAAAUCUUACUUCAAAGUGAUGUUUUUUUAGUGGUAGUAGGACUGAAUGCUUGUAGGACUGAAAUUACACUCACUGGUUAAUCUGGAAAGAGAAAUUCUACUCUUAAUGUGCUUUUACCACAAUUCAUAUUAUUCACUUCUUUCCCCAGACAUCCUCUGUUCCUAAAACAUAGCAGACAAUGUGUAUGGAAAAUUCUCCACGAUGCAUGCUAAGUGACUUUCUGCUCCAUGCACUACUGUACACCAAUAAUUUGAUAAUCUGCAUGCAUACUCAUACAUAGCUGUGAUAAAGUGCAUACUUGCGGAACUAGCGGAGAAGGAUUAGAUUUGUUUUACUGGGGGUGAGUGGGUUGGGCUGUUUUUACCAGGCCUCCUAAAUCAGUUAAACUUUGGAAAAUUGACCUUUUUUUUUUUUCUGGCUAGUCCAAAAUAUCCAAUUAACAUUUCAGUGUCUGAAGUAGAUCUUAUAAUAAUCCAUCUCCUGGAGCUGCCUUAAUUGCUCAUAGAAAAAUACGUUUGUGCCAUAAAAAAUGUAUUUUGGGUCUGGAAGAAGAUAAGCUUGGCUGUUCAGAAUGCUGAACAGAUGGUGAUGUAGAGUUCUGGACUGCUAAUUCAGCUGUGCUUUAGGGUGCCUGCAAAUUAGGCCACCCCUUUGGAAUGCUGCAGAGCAUCCAUCCAGGGCCCUUUUAAUAAUAACUGGUGUUGUGUACUAUCUUGAACUGCAAAAAUAGUUAUUUUCAUUUUAAUGUAAUAAUAGUGCUGCAAACUGCUGGAUCUACUUCCUAGCUGUGUAUAUAUGUAAUCAGAUGCUGCCUUGCAGCUGUGCUUCUGUGUGAAGUUACUGUAAAUAUCUCUUUAAAUAUCUGUAAAUAAAGUAUUUUCAGUCCUUGGAAAACUAGUGAUGAAUAAUGCUAAAAUGUUUUAAUGCUUCAUGUAGUUGAACUGGAAGCAGACUCCUCAUUUCAUUAAUUGUAUACAAACAUAUUCUGUUCAUGGAUGGUUUAUACUAAAUAAAUGAGUUAC